AUGCGGCCGCGGCUGGUGCUCUUCGGCGACUCAAUCACCGAGCAGUCCUUUGCCCCCGGCGGCUGGGGCGCCGCCCUCGCGGAGCACUUCGCGAGGCAGGCGGAUGUGGUGCUGCGCGGGCUCAGCGGGUACAACACGCGCUGGGCGCUGAAGGUGCUGGAUAGAGCCAUGGAGGGGGCGGCCGACGGCGGCGCGGACCCGGCGGCAGUGACGGUGUUCUUCGGCGCCAACGACGCCACCCUGCCCGACGAGAUGCAGGCGCACCAGCACGUGCCGCUCGGGGAGUACAAGGACAACCUGCGCGCGAUCUGUGCCUACUUCAAGAAUAAGUGGCCCUCCGCUGCCAUCAUACUCAUCACCCCUCCACCGAUCCACGAGCCGGCGAGGAUUCGAGACAUAUAUGGAGAUAAUGACCCUUCAAGACAGCCUGAAAGAACAAAUGAAGCUGCUGGCACUUAUGCACAAGCAUGCAUAACUGUUGCUAAAGAAUUGGGUCAUCCAGUUAUAGACAUCUGGACACAGAUGCAGCAAUGUCCUGAUUGGCAAACAUCUGCAUUAAGUGACGGGCUACAUUUCACCCCGUCCGGGAACAAAAUUUUGUUCGACGAGGUGCUGAAGACACUGGAAAGUGUUGGUUUCAGCCAGCACAGUCUCCGGUCCGAUCUCCCUCUCUUCCAUGAAAUUGACCCCAAGGACCCACUGAAAGCCUUUGAGAUUUGA
rnacentral:rRNA from 1 species